UGCGUCAUAUUAGUCCUCUUUAAUGUCAACAAAUGAUCAAACAGACGUCAAUAUCGGUCUUAUAAUUUCUUUACGAUGGCAGACAUUGAGGAACUAGAAUUUUUUGUCCAGCCUUACCAGUUCGAACAUCCCGCGAGACGUGAUCAAUUUAACAACAAUGAUUCAAGCGAGAACGAUUCGUCCAGCAGUAGCGAUGCCUCUGAAGCGGAAGGUCAACUGCACGAUGUAACGUAUUGGUGUAGUUGUGGACAUUGCCUACAAAUGCAAGUUGCACGUGACAGGAAGUGUUGUAAAGAUUGUCUGCAGUGUGUCGAGAAAAUGGGGCAACGUAGUUGCAUCUGUCAACAUGAAGGUUUUCUUGCAAACUGUUUAAAUCCCCAUGUACUAGAGGUCUCUUUUUAUGAGUACAUUGAACAGCAAGGGCCAGUUGGUGAUGAUGAACCUAUACAUGAGGUCUAUAGAUAUAUAGCCUACAGAAGGUUUACAAGAUGGAUAUGGCAUAUCCUUGGUAAAAAGAACAGAAAGGUCAUUCCAUCCUGUGUUGUAAAUAAAAUUCGUGAAACUUUUCCUUCCAGUUCUGAAACUUACACAGGAUUUAAGUAUCCUGAUGACUAUUAAAAAUAAGAAAAAAAACUUUCAAAGUAUUUUGUUUGAUUUUUUAUUAAAUGGAAGAGUAAUGAGUAAUGAAAAUGUAAUUAAUUUCAUUCCAAAAAUCAUGUAAUGGUUAAUUACUUUUCAAUUACAUUUUAUAGCACAUAUAAAUAUUUCCAAUAUAAAAAGCCUCAAAUUUAAUAGCACUAAAGAAGUAAAUUAAGUGUAUCGGACACAAAUCCAAUUCAUUAUAAUUUAUAAAAUAAAGAUUUAAAUCAGUUUUAACAAAUUAUAAUAAAACUAAGAAGGCAUUAUUAGUAUUACUUUUUAUUUACGACCCUUUUUUUUUAGACAUGUCACCUAAUAAGUGGAUUUCUGAAAAGAUGUAUAUUGUAAUCAACGAUUAGUGCUAAUUUGCAGGCAAUCAAUCAAUCAGUUAGAUGAAAAGACAAUUUAGUACUACUUGAUAAUUUAUGUGAAAUUGUAUUAGACGAACAUAAGUGCACCAGAGGACAUGAGCUAUCGUUGAUAAAUACAUAAUGUUUUAUUUGUAUUCUCCAUUGCCAGUAUAUUAGCUAUGGUAUGAGUUUAAUGGUAUUAAAUUGUUUAGGAAAUAUUGUGAGAAUAACAGGAAAAGGGGUCCAAAG